rnacentral:rRNA from 1 species
GAUGAACGCUGGCGGCGUGCUUAACACAUGCAAGUCGAACGGUGAAAGCGGAGCUUGCUCUGCUGGAUCAGUGGCGAACGGGUGAGUAACACGUGAGCAAUCUGCCCCUGACUCUGGGAUAAGCGCUGGAAACGGCGUCUAAUACUGGAUACGAGCUGCGAAGGCAUCUUCAGCAGCUGGAAAGAACUUCGGUCAGGGAUGAGCUCGCGGCCUAUCAGCUUGUUGGUGAGGUAACGGCUCACCAAGGCGUCGACGGGUAGCCGGCCUGAGAGGGUGACCGGCCACACUGGGACUGAGACACGGCCCAGACUCCUACGGGAGGCAGCAGUGGGGAAUAUUGCACAAUGGGCGAAAGCCUGAUGCAGCAACGCCGCGUGAGGGACGACGGCCUUCGGGUUGUAAACCUCUUUUAGCAGGGAAGAAGCGAAAGUGACGGUACCUGCAGAAAAAGCGCCGGCUAACUACGUG